UGCUGUCACUUCCGUGUCUGCGGCUGCCUCCACCUCUGGCAUCUCACCUUCACCUCUGCCGGAGCUGGCAGGCUGAUGCGAAUUCUGGGAAUUCUUCAGCCUGGAUGGGACAUAUUCACAUUUGACUUAUGCCUCAGAGCCAACCUGCAGAAAUGAGUAGCCAGGUGCUGGCCCAGGGUCUUGGAGUGCGGUUGUCCUGCUCAGGAGAAGGGACCGUGGCACUCUGCUUACUAGGCAGCUUUGCUCUCUCUUGGCAAAACAGGUUCAGUUCGAGAGCUGUGUGUGGCUAAAUUGCGUUCACCAUUUCUGAUCUUUUGUGCGUGAACAGGAAGCAAACGUGAUUAAAAUAAAGACAUUUGGGAAUUUUGAGUGUGGGACAUCAGACCUUGUUUAAUACAUAACCUUCAGGGAAAGACAAAAACAUUACUGCCUGUUAUUUUUAGUGCAACAGGAAAGAAAACUAGUGGAACUAUCAUACAUAACGUUCCCCCUUAUGAUUUACUUACCAUAAUCUCUCCUUGAUAUCAGUAUGCGAACACGUGGCUGAUUUGUCAGCCAGCUGAGCUAAGAAUUCUGUGUGGCAAUGCUGGUUUGCUUACAGGAAGAUUUAGUCAAAUUUCAGUUCUCAAGAUAGGCUUUUUCUUUUAAAUAGUUUUAUAUAGAAACAAAAAAAAAACCCAGAAAGGAACCCACUUGACAUUAGUUCUGGCUCAACAAGACUCAGGUUAGUGAACUGUUGUGAAGAGCCAAGAAUUUAGUGACAUAUCACUUCAGAGAUGAUGGAUGUUUGGCAAUUACUGAUCUUAUAUUGCACUGACAGACUUGGCACUGAAAGUGGAACCUGUUCAGAAUGAUAAAUGGAUAUGACAAUUUAUUAAAGAUAGAAGACAUGAUUAGUGUUGGCUGGGGAUGCAUUCUUUCUUAAAGGAAUAGGAGAAGAAAGCAAAACAAAAAGCAAAUACAGGGGAUAAUUAGAAUAUGAGAAUUAAAGUGUGCAACAUAUAUUAAAUCUAUUUAAUGGAAAAAUUCUAGAAAUUUAGAAGCCACCUAGAUGGGGUAAUGAAAACAUGCACAAAACUGUUCACCUAUUUCUACAUCCACAAUUCUCUUGCUAGAUUCUGUUCUCCUUCUCUUCAGUUCAUUAGCCUUCCUUUUCUAGAUCUGUGGUGCAAAGUGCCUCUGGUUUUGCUGUAUUCCUUAGCUGGAGCAGUUUAACAGAAGCUCUGUUUAAUUCUUGUGCAUUUUCCCUUCCUCAAAUGAAAAUGGAAUGGCAAGGUUAAACGUGUAAUCGGAAGAAGGCAAUUCCUAGGGGCACAUCUCUGUAACUUUUCUUGUUGGAUAACCUAUAGGAGAGACCCACCGUAAUGGUUUACACUGUUAACCACUUGUACCAUAUGAGUGCUCUUCACAACAAAUGGAUCUUGUCUACAAACUUAAGAAGUUCAUCAUGCCUUUGCACUAAGUGCUUCAUUAAAUUUUGUUCCCCUGUCAGGCUGUCUAAAGCUGCUGGAAUCAUUUGGAAAACGACGGAACACAUAUAUUUGCUUCUUGUCAGCUACUUGCAGCCUGUCUGCCUGUGUUGAUAAUUGUGUAUGACCCAUAAAUGUUAUUAUAAAUACCCAAAUGGUCCUGAGGAGCAUAAAGGUUAUCUGCCUUUGUGUUAUUGAAUUUUUUCAUGAAGUCCUGCAAAAGUGACUCCUUGAUCAGGCUAGCUUCAAGCCCCCACCCACAGAUCUCAACCCCCUGAGUAGUUAGGAUUCUUGGCUUGAGCUGCCACUGCCCAG